rnacentral:rRNA from 1 species
GACGGAAGGUGCAAGCGUUGCUCGGAACCACUGGGCGUAAAGGGUGCGUAGGCGGCCGCGCAAGUCUGGCGUGAAAUCCCCGGGCUCAACCCGGGAACUGCGUCCGAUACUGGAAGGCUUGAAUUCGGGAGAGGGAUGCGGAAUUCCAGGUGUAGCGGUGAAAUGCGUAGAUAUCUGGAGGAACACCGGUGGCGAAGGCGGCAUCCUGGACCGGCAUUGACGCUGAGGCGCGAAAGCCAGGGGAGCAAACGGG